GACGAACCGAGCGAACGUUAUUCGGAAUCACUGGGCUUAAAGGGCGCGUAGGCGGGCGGCCAAGUCUAUGGUGAAAUCCUCCAGCUUAACUGGAGAACUGCCGUGGAUACUGGUCGCCUCGAGGAAGGUAGGGGCAUCUGGAACUGGUGGUGGAGCGGUGAAAUGCGUUGAUAUCAUCAGGAACUCCGGUGGCGAAGGCGAGAUGCUGGACCUUUUCUGACGCUGAGGCGCGAAAGCCAGGGGAGCAAACGGG
rnacentral:rRNA from 1 species